CUGAACCUUCGGGGAACGAUAACGGCGUCGAGCGGCGGACGGGUGAGUAAUGCCUAGGAAAUUGCCCUGAUGUGGGGGAUAACCAUUGGAAACGAUGGCUAAUACCGCAUGAUGCCUACGGGCCAAAGAGGGGGACCUUCGGGCCUCUCGCGUCAGGAUAUGCCUAGGUGGGAUUAGCUAGUUGGUGAGGUAAGGGCUCACCAAGGCGACGAUCCCUAGCUGGUCUGAGAGGAUGAUCAGCCACACUGGAACUGAGACACGGUCCAGACUCCUACGGGAGGCAGCAGUGGGGAAUAUUGCACAAUGGGCGCAAGCCUGAUGCAGCCAUGCCGCGUGUGUGAAGAAGGCCUUCGGGUUGUAAAGCACUUUCAGUCGUGAGGAAGGUAGUGUAGUUAAUAGCUGCAUUAUUUGACGUUAGCGACAGAAGAAGCACCGGCUAACUCCGUGCCAGCAGCCGCGGUAAUACGGAGGGUGCGAGCGUUAAUCGGAAUUACUGGGCGUAAAGCGCAUGCAGGUGGUUUGUUAAGUCAGAUGUGAAAGCCCGGGGCUCAACCUCGGAAUAGCAUUUGAAACUGGCAGACUAGAGUACUGUAGAGGGGGGUAGAAUUUCAGGUGUAGCGGUGAAAUGCGUAGAGAUCUGAAGGAAUACCGGUGGCGAAGGCGGCCCCCUGGACAGAUACUGACACUCAGAUGCGAAAGCGUGGGGAGCAAACAGGAUUAGAUACCCUGGUAGUCCACGCCGUAAACGAUGUCUACUUGGAGGUUGUGGCCUUGAGCCGUGGCUUUCGGAGCUAACGCGUUAAGUAGACCGCCUGGGGAGUACGGUCGCAAGAUUAAAACUCAAAUGAAUUGACGGGGGCCCGCACAAGCGGUGGAGCAUGUGGUUUAAUUCGAUGCAACGCGAAGAACCUUACCUACUCUUGACAUCCAGAGAACUUUCCAGAGAUGGAUUGGUGCCUUCGGGAACUCUGAGACAGGUGCUGCAUGGCUGUCGUCAGCUCGUGUUGUGAAAUGUUGGGUUAAGUCCCGCAACGAGCGCAACCCUUAUCCUUGUUUGCCAGCGAGUAAUGUCGGGAACUCCAGGGAGACUGCCGGUGAUAAACCGGAGGAAGGUGGGGACGACGUCAAGUCAUCAUGGCCCUUACGAGUAGGGCUACACACGUGCUACAAUGGCGCAUACAGAGGGCGGCCAACUUGCGAAAGUGAGCGAAUCCCAAAAAGUGCGUCGUAGUCCGGAUUGGAGUCUGCAACUCGACUCCAUGAAGUCGGAAUCGCUAGUAAUCGUGGAUCAGAAUGCCACGGUGAAUACGUUCCCGGGCCUUGUACACACCGCCCGUCACACCAUGGGAGUGGGCUGCAAAAGAAGUA
rnacentral:rRNA from 1 species